AUGGAGGCCAUCAGGUUCAUCGGGCUUGCUGCACGGGGCCAAAGCCAGCAGAAGCUGUCAGAGAUGAUGAGCACACUUUAUCCCCUGGAGCACGACUGCACACCAUCCAUCAGGUGCCUGGCAACUCAGACCAUUUCCAUCCUGAGCACUCUAAGGGUGAAGGCAGAACGGAGAAGAACCAAGAGACCUUGGUGCUGCUGAGCCCAGCUGAGCUGCAGCUCUUCCCUGGGAACAAUCCUGUGCUGCCUCCAGCUCCUGGCUGCUGCUGCUGACCCCAGGAAUCCAGCCUUGACCUUCCCAGCGCUGCUCUGCAGCCUUGGUCAGGAUGUGAGAUUUAGUGGGGGAAAAGAGGGAGCAUCAAGUUGAAUCAAUUUUCCUCUAUAUUUGUAUAUAUUGUAUAUAGUUAGUCAUUUUUUCCUUUUUAUCAUUCCUGUUUCAUUAAAGUUG